UCCGAAAGUGAAGGUUUUGUAAUUACCUACUAUGCUACUGUUUAAAUUGGUAUGGAAAUAAAUAGAAUAGUUCUUUGUGGUUCUUUAUUGGAUAAUCUUAAUUCUGGUUUGUUUUAAAAUAUUUUCGAUAUCCCUCUAACGCCCUAACCUCAAUUUUUUGUUUAUAUAAAUGUGGAUUUUUUACCCAUUUUCUAAAUAAAUAUCAAGAGUUUAAAAUACCCAUUUAAUGAAGUUUAUCAAGAGUACCCAUUAAUGGGUAAACGCGAUAUACUCAUUAAAUGAGUUAUGCCGCUUUUCUUCAAAAUGGGUACCAAAAUACCCAUUAAUGGGUACUCUCAGGCUUCCGUGCGAUAUAUGCAUAUAUGAGUUUACCCAUAUUUGGAUGAAAAAAACAUCUUCAAAACAUCAACAUGAUCGUCUACCAGUGUGCUCCUCGAUCAUGUUUUCUUCAUUGAAUUACAAUUGCAUUGAAGAUGUUUUUCGUAUUCACUGAUAUUAUUUCUGGCCGCGGCCUUCGACAACUGAGGAACUGCAGUCUGCAGUUAUGGAAGCAACCAGAAGAGUAAUUUCAUCAUACUGCAGGAAAUCCGGAUAUAAGGGGGAUUCAUAACGACAACCGCACAAUGAAGCAAGAAAUGUUUUUACAAAAUAAAAUUCAAUCUAUCUGUACAAUAUGUGCGGAAAUUCCGCGAUCGUGAUAUCGCCGGUCAACUAUCAUCAGCUGGUCAUCGGCCGUGGAAACAUCAGCUGCCCAAAACAGUAUUAGGGAUUAGGAAAUAAAAUCUGCUUCGGCCUAAUCUGACGGUUUUACAUCGAAACAUCUCCCGGAUGUAUUAGGUACCAAAAUCCCUAUGGUAAUUAUUAAUUAGUUCAAAUAAAAAUGAU